AGAUACGGCCCAGACUCCUACGGGAGGCAGCAGUGGGGAAUAUUGCACAAUGGGCGCAAGCCUGAUGCAGCGACGCCGCGUGCGGGAUGACGGCCUUCGGGUUGUAAACCGCUUUUGACUGGGAGCAAGCCCUUCGGGGUGAGUGUACCUUUCGAAUAAGCACCGGCUAACUACGUGCCAGCAGCCGCGGUAAUACGUAGGGUGCAAGCGUUAUCCGGAAUUAUUGGGCGUAAAGGGCUCGUAGGCGGUUCGUCGCGUCCGGUGUGAAAGUCCAUCGCUUAACGGUGGAUCCGCGCCGGGUACGGGCGGGCUUGAGUGCGGUAGGGGAGACUGGAAUUCCCGGUGUAACGGUGGAAUGUGUAGAUAUCGGGAAGAACACCAAUGGCGAAGGCAGGUCUCUGGGCCGUCACUGACGCUGAGGAGCGAAAGCGUGGGGAGCGAACAGGAUUAGAUACCCUGGUAGUCCACGCCGUAAACGGUGGAUGCUGGAUGUGGGGACCAUUCCACGGUCUCCGUGUCGGAGCCAACGCGUUAAGCAUCCCGCCUGGGGAGUACGGCCGCAAGGCUAAAACUCAAAGAAAUUGACGGGGGCCCGCACAAGCGGCGGAGCAUGCGGAUUAAUUCGAUGCAACGCGAAGAACCUUACCUGGGCUUGACAUGUUCCCGACAGCCCCAGAGAUGGGGCCUCCCUUCGGGGCGGGUUCACAGGUGGUGCAUGGUCGUCGUCAGCUCGUGUCGUGAGAUGUUGGGUUAAGUCCCGCAACGAGCGCAACCCUCGCCCUGUGUUGCCAGCACGUCGUGGUGGGAACUCACGGGGGACCGCCGGGGUCAACUCGGAGGAAGGUGGGGAUGACGUCAGAUCAUCAUGCCCCUUACGUCCAGGGCUUCACGCAUGCUACAAUGGCCGGUACAACGGGAUGCGACCUCGUGAGGGGGAGCGGAUCCCUUAAAACCGGUCUCAGUUCGGAUUGGAGUCUGCAACCCGACUCCAUGAAGGCGGAGUCGCUAGUAAUCGCGGAUCAGCAACGCCGCGGUGAAUGCGUUCCCGGGCCUUGUACACACCGCCCGUCAAGUCAUGAAAGUGGGUAGCACCCGAAGCCGGUGGCCCAACCUUUUUGGGGGGAGCCGUCUAAGGUGAGACUCGUGAUUGGGACUAAGUCGUAACAAGGUAGCCGUACCGGAAGGUGCGGCUG
rnacentral:rRNA from 1 species